CACCGGCAUCUCGAGUGGUAUCCACUUUUAUUGGGUCUAAAGCGUCCGUAGCUGGUUUAGUAAAUUCUUGGGUAAAUCGUACCGCUUAACGGUGCGGAUUCUGGGGACACUACUAGACUUGGGACCGGGGGGAGGUCAGAAGUACUUGUGGGGUAGCGGUGAAAUGUUGUAAUCCUACAGGGACUACCAGUGGCGAAGGCGUCUGACCAAAACGGCUCCGACAGUGAGGGACGAAACCCUGGGGCGCAAACG
rnacentral:rRNA from 1 species